rnacentral:lncRNA from 1 species
UUCGACUUUAACUAAAUUGAUAAGAAAUAUAUAAAAUAAAUUAUACAUAAUCAAUCGAUAUUAUUACAAAAUGUAUUCACAAACACAUGAUAUAAUGAAUAAAUCCAAUAAAAAUAACAAUCUCAGAAAAUUUGUUUCUUGAUCUCGAGGUCAAGCUACAAGACGGACCAAUACGAAUCAAAAUCAAGAACGGACUAUUGUCUCGAAGCAGUGGAGACCGUCGAGCUCCAGAGCAAACCUCGGAGUCUUCUGCACCAAACUUAUCUUAUUGCUUGCGUUUUCCUCCUUCUGCGUCUGCGUUUGCAGUACGGCAGGUUUGGGGUGGCGGUGGAGCUAGCGUUAAGCGAAGAAACCAUACUUGAUCUCGAGGUCAAGCUACAAGACGGACCAAUACGAAUCAAAAUCAAGAACGGACUAUUGUCUCGAAGCAGUGGAGACCGUCGAGCUCCAGAGCAAACCUCGGAGUCUUCUGCACCAAACUUAUCUUAUUGCUUGCGUUUUCCUCCUUCUGCGUCUGCGUUUGCAGUACGGCAGGUUUGGGGGUGGCGGUGGAGCUAGCGUUAAGCGAAGAAACCAUAAGGUUCUUUCCCAUAAGCUCUACGAAGAGGGCGUCGAAGGCACUGAACAUCGAGUUCAUGAUGUAAAGUAAGAUAAUAAACAAGACCAAGAGACUUUGAAGUUUC